CAUGGCACGACUUUCUACGUAGCAAGUAGUGUUAACGCAACUUGUCAUGUCAUAAAACCAAACUAAGAAGAAAAAGAUAUCAUUAUUUUGUUUAUCAAAGUAGAGGAGUUUGUUAUAUACGUUUAUUAAUGUCUUUAAUUUAGCUAACUUCGGGUGAGGAGAUAAUGAGAUUCCAUUGGAGGAAAGCAACCGUGUUUUUAAAUAAGCUUGCGAGAAAUUGCUAGCUAGCUAGCUCAACAGGUGGAGCAGAGGCGCUGCAGUGCGUUUCACCUGGAAACAACUAAAAUGUAUAGGAGCAGCGGCCAGGGGACCAACUCCAGUUCUGAGGCCAGCACCUCCGUCUGUUGGAGAAUGGCUUGUUCAAGGACAUACCUUACGUUUCACCACUGAGGAAGGACAAGCUAUAUCAAGACAAAUGAAACACCCCUCCUGCUUCCCCCCAAAAGAACCCCAACAAGGAGACUUCAGACUACCAUAUCAGGUUGGGCUGUCCGAGGAUCGGCCUGUGGGAUGGAGGUAAGCUUCUGGGCUUCUGUCUGUCUGUCUCUGUCUCUCAGAUUCCUCUGGAUCCACCCCCCUCCUGGAUCCCAGAUUCUCUCCAUCAUCUCCUCCAACCGUGAGGUCUAACCGUCAGGGCAGGGGCGUGUGGGCGGACAUGCUGGGCGCUGGCAGCGGGCUCCGUCUGCUAGUGAGUAAUCAUGGUCCUGAGACAGCAUGAGCAGCAGCUAUUGCUGUAAUUUAAAGUCAAUAUUGUACUCAUGAUCCCUCUCCCCGGGCUAACGGAACAGCCUCUCACCGCGAUGGAGAAAGUCAUCUCUGCUGCUUAGAGGGAAUCCUCAGCUUCUCUUCUCUGAUUCUCAAAAGAAGCCUGAAUGAGAUAAAGAAUGCUCGGUGCAUUUCUGUGGGAUGAUUUCCAGAGGUAUCAGAGAUCUGCCUGCCUACUCCUACUGCGGAUUAUUGGACUUGAAGGCUGUCUAUACUCUCAACGAAACAGGCUCUCAGGUUCUCUGUAUGACCCACACAGAUGUAACCCCCCCCCCCAUCCCCCCUGUAAAUUAUGCCUAUGUAAGGACCCCAGGUAUCUGUACUCCUACAAUGUCUUUCAAGGAGAGGAUGGUUAUGUGUUGGUUAUGUGUUCACCAUUCACAAAGCACAAUGUAACUGGAACCACUGGAGAUACAGAAAACAUUGUUUAUUACAAAUUAAAACAUUCGCUAUAUUUCUGAAAUUAGUGUAAUCAGUGUGUAUCAUAGAUGUGU